AUUGAACGCUGGCGGCAUGCCUUACACAUGCAAGUCGAACGGUAGCACAGAGAGCUUGCUCUCGGGUGACGAGUGGCGGACGGGUGAGUAAUGUCUGGGAAACUGCCCGAUGGAGGGGGAUAACUACUGGAAACGGUAGCUAAUACCGCAUAACGUCGCAAGACCAAAGUGGGGGACCUUCGGGCCUCACACCAUCGGAUGUGCCCAGAUGGGAUUAGCUAGUAGGUGGGGUAAUGGCUCACCUAGGCGACGAUCCCUAGCUGGUCUGAGAGGAUGACCAGCCACACGGGAACUGAGACACGGUCCAGACUCCUACGGGAGGCAGCAGUGGGGAAUAUUGCACAAUGGGCGCAAGCCUGAUGCAGCCAUGCCGCGUGUAUGAAGAAGGCCUUCGGGUUGUAAAGUACUUUCAGCGGGGAGGAAGGCGGUGAAGUUAAUAGCUUCACCGAUUGACGUUACCCGCAGAAGAAGCACCGGCUAACUCCGUGCCAGCAGCCGCAGUAA
rnacentral:rRNA from 1 species